UUAACCAUUAACCAUUAUCUUAUAGUUUGUUUCCCUUAAAAUGCUUGUCUUUGUAGGGAAGGUAAUUAUGACCUUCCUUUUAUAUAAUGUUGUAACCCAAUUUUUGACAAAGCUAAAAGCCCGAAAAUAAACAAAUAAAACCCAAAAUGUUAACAGUUCAUUUACAAACCAAAAAAACCAGACCCAAAAUAAAAUAAACCCAAAACUCAACUAUGCCAGCCCAAUACAACCCUAGCCCACAAACAAAUUGUUGCAGCAAAAAAAGAGAAACCCUAGGGCACCGUUGGCCGCCGCCUCUACCCCUGCGCACCGUUCCAUCUCCUCGCACGCCAUCGUCACGCCUCUGACACCUGCAGGGAGAAGUGAAUGCAAACAACAGAGGAUUACAAAGAACUAAAGAGCAAAAAAACAAAAAGAUGAAGAUAAAACGGGUGUAAUAUGGCUAUAAAAGCCAAAGGAUUCUCAUUGUAACUUUUUUUUUACGAACACAUAAAUAUUGAGAUCAAAAAAAAUCGAGAUUAAAGAAAAGGUUGAUUUGAACUUCUCUCUCUUCGUUUUUCUUUAUUUUUGUAUGUUUGUUUAUUUAUUGUUGCAAAUCGAUUUUAAAAAUACAUCAAAGAAUGUGAAAAGAAAAAGGUUACCCGAAUCAGCCCUUAGGCCUGCCGUCGAUGGUCCUUCGUCGUCGCCGGAUGUGGGUUUAGGGAGGGGUCAAGGUUUUUUUCGUUCCCUGUUCCAUGGCCUUGGAACUUUGGCAGAGAAGGGGAACCUCCCCUUUUGUUUUGUAGGUUCUUUGCAGAAA
rnacentral:lncRNA from 1 species